rnacentral:pre_miRNA from 1 species
AACAGCUGAGUGAUUUAAAGCAAUCAAAUUCCUUUAGCUUUAAAUCAUCCAGCUGUUGA